rnacentral:rRNA from 1 species
UGAGGAAUAUUGGUCAAUGGACGCAAGUCUGAACCAGCCAAGUAGCGUGCAGGAUGACGGCCCUAUGGGUUGUAAACUGCUUUUAUGUGGGAAUAAAGUGGUGCACGUGUGCGCCAUUGCAUGUACCUCAUGAAUAAGGACCGGCUAAUUCUGUGCCAGCAGCCGCGGUAAUACGGAAGGUCCGGGCGUUAUCCGGAUUUAUUGGGUUUAAAGGGAGUGUAGGCGGUCUGUUAAGCGUGUUGUGAAAUUUAGGUGCUCAACAUUUAACUUGCAGCGCGAACUGUCAGACUUGAGUACACGCAGCGCAGGCGGAAUUCAUGGUGUAGCGGUGAAAUGCUUAGAUAUCAUGAGGAACGCCGAUCGCGAAGGCAGCCUGCGGGAGUGUUACUGACGCUUAAGCUCGAAGGUGCGGGUAUCGAACAGG